rnacentral:rRNA from 1 species
GACGAACGCUGGCGGCGUGCUUAAUACAUGCAAGUCGAGCGAGGCCUUGGAAUUGGAGUCCUUCGGGAUGAAGAGUCCUUGGCCUAGCGGCGGACGGGUGAGUAACGCGUGGGCAACCUACCCCAAAGUCCGGGAUAACAGUGGGAAACCGCUGCUAAUACCGGAUGGCUUUACCUGAGGGCAUCCUUGGGUAAAGAAAGGUUACGCUUUGGGAUGGGCCCGCGUCCCAUUAGCUAGUUGGUGAGGUAACGGCUCACCAAGGCGACGAUGGGUAGCCGGCCUGAGAGGGUGAACGGCCACACUGGGACUGAGACACGGCCCAGACUCCUACGGGAGCAGCAGUAGGGAAUAUUGCGCAAUGGGCGAAGCCUGACGCAGCGACGCCGCGUGAGCGAAGAAGGCCUUGGGUCGUAAAGCUCUGUCCGUUGGGGAAGAAGGCGAAAGCUUGACGGUACCCAAGAAGAAAGCCCCGGACUAACUACGUG